rnacentral:lncRNA from 1 species
GGCACGAGUCAGUGGAGGCACAAAAGCAGGCAGUUGCACAUUUCGUACGAGAUUGGGAACCCUUCGACUGGACGAAACAACUUUCUUGAAUUAAAAAAAUGCAACUCUUAUGUAUUUGUGGUGUUACAAAUUCUUUUGUAUUAGAAGUAGUGUUACAUAUAAUGAUUAAUUAUACUAUAUUAGUGACUUAUUUGACUAGAGAGAAUUCCUUUACCUUUUUCAAAUGAAAGGAUUGUAUAAAUACAGUAAUUAUGUAAUAAAUUUAUUGUAGAAUACAGUAAUAAUUAUGUUGAAUUCCACUCGCCAACCAUUAUUAAUGCUUUUAAAUUUAGCACAAAUAAAGAUAUUGAUGCCUUUUUAUGGUAAUUAUUGCCACAAAAAAAAAAAAAAAUAUUAAAGAUGAAAUUAAUACAUGAGAUUUUGAAUACGAGAUUUCUUAUUCUCCAUAUAAAUUAGAAUCUUUUGGUGGGAUUUUUCUUAUUAAGAUGUUUGAUUCCCUGACACCUCAAGUUAAAAAGUUUCAAAUUUAGCUAGGGUUUUGAACAAAAAAUUAAUCAAAUGGAUCAUACAGUAUCAAUACUCACAAUGUCACUAAGUUGUUUUUUCCCAAAAUCCCUAAUCCCUAAACCGACUCUCUUCUCUCUACCUCCCCUCUUCCUUCUUCUCCUUCUUCCUUCGUGAUAACGGUGAGUCGCAGUAGUCCAAUAGAAGCAAGUGAAAGAGAGUGACGUUCGUUGUUGUUGGGACUGUGAUUGGAGAUACGGAUUUGAACUACAUUGGCGGAGAUGUCGACGGAAAAAGAGAAAAUGACGAGUAAAAUUUAGUUUGAAGCUACAAAAAUUAGGGUUUUGGGAAAGAGUAAUUAACGUUGAUUGGUGAAGUUAUUAAAUGAAGUGCACUAAAAAAGAAUUUUUUGUAUGAGUAAUAUUGAUUGUCCAUGUAGAUUGCUUUAUUGCGACGUUAAUUGCCCAAUUCCCCUUUUUCGUUGUAGUAUUUCUUACAAACAAUUUCCUUGCAUAUGAGGCUGACACUGUGCACAUUUACCCUCAUUUAUAAUGUUGUUUGUAACAUAUAUUGAAUAUUUUAUUGCUUUAGGAUGCUUGUCAUUUUGCUUGUUGAUUGGGGACAAUAGUGAUUAGUUUGUUUAAUGUUUUUGUGAAUUUGGGUUAAUGCUUCUGUGUAUGGUUUACUUUAUUAUACAUGUUUCCCUUAGAGGUUUGGGUAGGUGGUAGAAUGAGUGAGAAAAGCGAGAAAAAUGGAAGGAUAAACCAUAUUGGUGGGAAGAGGUUGAAGGAAUGUGAUACACAAACUUGGACAUGACAUAUUCUAAGGUGUGUGAGAAGGUUAAAGGGUAUAGGUGUGGUGAGGUGAAAAAUAGGAUACCACAAACCUCAUACACCAUGAUUGACAUUGGAGUUUGUCAGAAAUGAUGAUGAAGUGAAAUUGAUGUUAGAGAGAGGGAAGAAAUUUGGUUGGCUCAAGGUUUGCAUUCAAACCGAGUUUAGGAUAGAGGAAAAUAAGGAUUAUGAUCAUGCCAACUAUAUAUACUCAGAUGAGGAAGAGAGACAUGAAUGUGUUGAAGCUUUAAUGGAGAAUUACGUCCGACCACAAUGUACAACAGAAGAAGAAUUCCAAAAAGAACAAACCAUGCAUGAUGAUGGAAAUAGUGAUCAUGGGGAAGAUGCUAUUGAUUUAAAUAAUGUAGUACAAGAAGAAGAGAGCGAAGCAAAUGAAGAAUGUUUAGAUGAUGAGGAGUUUUCGCGAGCAAGGGAAAAUAUGAUAAAAUUAAAAAAGGUUGUUGUUGCCAAUGGAGCAGGUUUAGG